rnacentral:tRNA from 1 species
GGAGGGGUGGCAGAGUGGUCGAAUGCGGCGGUCUCGAAAACCGUUUACCCCGUUAGGGGUACGAGGGUUCGAAUCCCUCCUCCUCCG